rnacentral:rRNA from 1 species
UACGUAGGGAGCAAGCGUUGUUCGGAUUUACUGGGCGUAAAGGGCGCGUAGGCGGCGCGGUAAGUCACUUGUGAAAUCUCUGAGCUUAACUCAGAACGGCCAAGUGAUACUGCAGCGCUAGAGUGCAGAAGGGGCAAUCGGAAUUCUUGGUGUAGCGGUGAAAUGCGUAGAUAUCAAGAGGAACACCUGAGGUGAAGACGGGUUGCUGGGCUGACACUGACGCUGAGGCGCGAAAGCCAGGGGAGCAAACGGG